rnacentral:tRNA from 1 species
AGCGGGUUGGGGAAGCCAGGCCUAUCCCGCAGGGCUCAUAACCCUGAGACCGGUUGUUCGUCGUGUCUUGACUUCCAAGGUGCGGACAAAAAUCAACCACCCGCUACCA